AAACUACUACUACUUAGGAAAAGAGAAGCGGUCAUUAUCAUCAAACAAGCAAGCCUCACAGAAAUAGUUCGUCGAUACAUACCAGUCUAAGGUGUGGCUGGCUACAACUUACAAGAAAUAGUUCACAACACUGCCAACACAGUUCAGGUACUUGAAAUCCACAGAUCCCCAUAGCGGAGUUCACAACACUGCCAACACAGUACAGGUACUUAAAAUCCACAGAUCACUGGGCUAGUCUGAAUGCAUAAAGAUGGGUGUCAAACUGCAAACAUCGAAAUAGCGCGGGUACAUGGAAUACUCCAGGAUACUCCUUGGUGGAAGCUGCUCACUGCUCAGCAUCUCAGCAGUAAAACAUGACACGCUUCACGUUCUCCUUGAGAGCGGGCAGGGGCCUAACAGCAACACUUCCCGCAGCCCUGCUGCUGCGUGCCCCACCUGGUGGAGGGCCACGGGCGCCACUUGCCAUUGACCCGCUGUCAGAGGUAUCUGGCUCCAUGUAGAAGCGAGCUCGGAAGGCUGCCA
rnacentral:lncRNA from 1 species